GACUGCGUAGCUCAGUUGGCAGAGCAUUGGGCUAGUAUUCCAAAGGUCGUAGGUUCGAUUCCCACCGUGGCCA
rnacentral:tRNA from 1 species